rnacentral:lncRNA from 1 species
AGAAGGGAAGGGUGGAUCCUAAAAGGUAAUACUGAGCCUUCAUUCAAACUAAAAGGCUGGAAGGGAGGCAGCUGCCUUUGUUUGCCAUGGAUGGGUAGGGGCUGCACUGAGCAGCACCGGUGUUCUUCAUCCGGCUGCACCCCCAACAGAGCUCUUUCUUCCCCAGAUCCCUUUUACAGUUGGAUUCUCCCUCUUGGAUCUGGCUCUGCCUUAGUCCGACCUAGAGGGAUCAGCUUCGCCCACGCCCACUCUCACCCGGAACCUUUCAUCUCUUAUUGAAGCCUUUUAGGCCCAUUGGGAUGUUCAUUAGAACUCUGAAAACUACAGUUCUCCCCUUUAUGAGGACUGCACCACAGCUCGCCCUCUCCUGGGUUCCGGUCAAAUCAUUUCUGCUUCAUCCAGCCUGGUUGCAGAGUGAGCCCAUGGGACAGCCCUCUGAAAUUAUACUGCUUACAACCAUGCUGAGUCUGCAAGGACUUCGUCCAAGCCUUUCCGUCCAGGACCUCAAACAGAUCCAAUCACAAGAAGAGAGAUUUCAGGAAAGAGAAAAUUAUUCCUAUCAUCGGGGUUUUUGAAGAACAUGAAAUGACUGGGAAAAUAAUCAUGUUAAGUGGAAAAAAAAAAGAAAUCUAUCUGUUGUAAUUUUCAAAUAAUUUUUAAAUAAAUUUGAAAAAUUAAGAGAACUAUAUAUAUAAUACAUUCCUAAUCUUGUGAAAAAUAUAUAUGCAUUAAUAUUAUUGAAAGAAAUAUAUCAAAAGGUGAACAGCAAUUAUCACCAAUCUAGAUUAUGAGAUUAGGAGUGAUUUUUUUUCUUUGUCCUAUACUAUUUAAUAUUUUCUACCAUUAAAAUAUUCUGAUUUUCUAAUUAGAAUAGUACGUUAGACAAAGAAGGACAAAUAUCACAUGAACUCUCACUCUCUUAUGGAACAGAUCUUGUGGAAUCUAAAAAAGUUGAACUCAUAGAAAAAGAGGAAAAUGAUGGUUACCAGUUAGAAAAAAGGAAUAAGUUCAAGAGAUCUAUUGUACACCAUGGUCAAUAUAGUUAACAAUAUAUUUUAUACUUUAAAAUUGCUAAGGUAGUAGAUUUUAAGUGUUCUCACCACACAAAAAAAUAAGUAUGUGAAAAGCAUAUGGUAAUUAGCUUGAUUUAACCACGCCACAGUGCAUACAUAUGUCAAAACAUCAUGUUGUAUACUAUAAAUAUAUACACUUUUUGUCAAUUUUAAACAGGUUAUAAAAAAACAUGUUAUUGUUGAUAAUUAUGAAAAAUUUUAAUGAUGUGGAAAUGUGUACAGUAUAAUGAUAAAUGAAAGAGUAGUAAAAAUCCUUAUAAAAUAUAAUU